rnacentral:rRNA from 1 species
AUACGUAGGGGGCGAGCGUUAUCCGGAAUUAUUGGGCGUAAGUAGUGCGUAGGUGGUUUUGUAAGCGCGGGGUGAAAGGCUAUGGCUCAACCAUAGUAAGCCUUGCGAACUGUGAGACUUGAGUGCAGGAGAGGAAAGCGGAAUUCCUAGUGUAGCGGUGAAAUGCGUAGAUAUUAGGAGGAACACCAGUGGCGAAGGCGGCUUUCUGGACUGUAACUGACACUGAGGCACGAAAGCGUGGGGAGC